GAUGAACGCUAGCUACAGGCUUAACACAUGCAAGUCGAGGGGUAACGAGAGGAAAGCUUGCUUUCCUUGUCGACGACCGGCGCACGGGUGAGUAACGCGUAUCCAACCUGCCCCCUACUAAGGAAUAACCUUGCGAAAGUAAGACUAAUACCUUAUAAUUUCCUCAGAUGUCAUCUGACGAGGAAUAAAGAUUUAUCGGUUGUGGAUGGGGAUGCGUCUGAUUAGCUUGUUGGCGGGGUAACGGCCCACCAAGGCAACGAUCAGUAGGGGUUCUGAGAGGAAGGUCCCCCACAUUGGAACUGAGACACGGUCCAAACUCCUACGGGAGGCAGCAGUGAGGAAUAUUGGUCAAUGGGCGGAAGCCUGAACCAGCCAAGUAGCGUGCGGGAUGACGGCCCUAUGGGUUGUAAACUGCUUUUAUACAGGAAUAAAGUUAGCCACGUGUGGUUAUUUGUAGGUACUGUAUGAAUAAGGACCGGCUAAUUCCGUGCCAGCCGCCGCCGUAA
rnacentral:rRNA from 1 species